UCUACGGGAGGCAGCAGUGGGGAAUAUUGGACAAUGGGCGCAAGCCUGAUCCAGCCAUACCGCGUGGGUGAAGAAGGCCUUCGGGUUGUAAAGCCCUUUUGCUGGGAAAGAAAUCCAGCUGGCUAAUACCCGGUUGGGAUGACGGUACCCAAAGAAUAAGCACCGGCUAACUUCGUGCCAGCAGCCGCGGUAAUA
rnacentral:rRNA from 1 species